AGCGAACGCUGGCGGCAGGCCUAACACAUGCAAGUCGAACGAACUCUUCGGAGUUAGUGGCGGACGGGUGAGUAACACGUGGGAACGUGCCUUUUGGUUCGGAAUAACUCAGGGAAACUUGUGCUAAUACCGAAUGUGCCCUUCGGGGGAAAGAUUUAUCGCCACUAGAGCGGCCCGCGUCUGAUUAGCUAGUUGGUGAGGUAACGGCUCACCAAGGCGACGACCAGUAGCUGGUCUGAGAGGAUGACCAGCCACACUGGGACUGAGACACGGCCCAGACUCCUACGGGAGGCAGCAGUGGGGAAUCUUGCGCAAUGGGCGAAAGCCUGACGCAGCCAUGCCGCGUGAAUGAUGAAGGUCUUAGGAUUGUAAAAUUCUUUCACCGGGGACGAUAAUGACGGUACCCGGAGAAGAAGCCCCGGCUAACUUCGUG
rnacentral:rRNA from 1 species